ACGAACGCUGGCGGCGUGCUUAACACAUGCAAGUCGAACGGAAAGGCCCUGCUUUUGUGGGGUGCUCGAGUGGCGAACGGGUGAGUAACACGUGAGUAACCUGCCCUUGACUUUGGGAUAACUUCAGGAAACUGGGGCUAAUACCGGAUAGGAGCUCCUGCUGCAUGGUGGGGGUUGGAAAGUUUCGGCGGUUGGGGAUGGACUCGCGGCUUAUCAGCUUGUUGGUGGGGUAGUGGCUUACCAAGGCUUUGACGGGUAGCCGGCCUGAGAGGGUGACCGGCCACAUUGGGACUGAGAUACGGCCCAGACUCCAACGGGAGGCAGCAGUGGGGAAUAUUGCACAAUGGGCGGAAGCCUGAUGCAGCAACGCCGCGUGCGGGAUGACGGCCUUCGGGUUGUAAACCGCUUUCGCCUGUGACGAAGCGUGAGUGACGGUAAUGGGUAAAGAAGCACCGGCUAACUACGUG
rnacentral:rRNA from 1 species